ensembl:lncRNA
GGUAGAGAUGCAAAUAUGAAAAGGCUCACAGCACCGUUUUCAACCGUUGAAUGGUUAUCCUCGUGAGUACUGACCCAACAGGUCAUUACGACACUUCCACGUCUUCGCAGCUGACUUCACAGCUGAAAAACGUGUUCCUGAUGCCAAACGUGGAAGCCGUUACUUUAGAUCGAUGUGGCACGCUGAUGUCCAACCUUGAAUACGUGUAGAAGGAUUGACGUUGGACAUCCUGUUGCAGCAUGUGGUUUCCCACAAUGGAAGAAGAGGGAAAGUUCUCCACGUGGGUGGUUGGAUCUAGUAGG